rnacentral:rRNA from 1 species
AUUGAACGCUGGCGGAAUGCUUUACACAUGCAAGUCGAGCGGGGGAAGGUAGCUUGCUACUGGACCUAGCGGCGGACGGGUGAGUAAUGCUUAGGAAUCUGCCUAUUAGUGGGGGACAACAUCUCGAAAGGGAUGCUAAUACCGCAUACGUCCUACGGGAGAAAGCAGGGGAUCACUUGUGACCUUGCGCUAAUAGAUGAGCCUAAGUCGGAUUAGCUAGUUGGUGGGGUAAAGGCCUACCAAGGCGACGAUCUGUAGCGGGUCUGAGAGGAUGAUCCGCCACACUGGGACUGAGACACGGCCCAGACUCCUACGGGAGGCAGCAGUGGGGAAUAUUGGACAAUGGGGGGAACCCUGAUCCAGCCAUGCCGCGUGUGUGAAGAAGGCCUUAUGGUUGUAAAGCACUUUAAGCGAGGAGGAGGCUCUUUUGGUUAAUACCCAAGAUGAGUGGACGUUACUCGCAGAAUAAGCACCGGCUAACUCUGUGCCAGCAGCCGCGGUAA